rnacentral:rRNA from 1 species
UACGUAGGGGGCAAGCGUUGUCCGGAUUUAUUGGGCGUAAAGAGCGUGUAGGCGGCCAGGUAGGUCAGCUGUGAAAACUCGAGGCUCAACCUCGAGACGUCGGUUGAAACCACCUGGCUAGAGUCCGGAAGAGGAGAGUGGAAUUCCUGGUGUAGCGGUGAAAUGCGCAGAUAUCAGGAAGAACACGCGUGGCGAAGGCGGCUCUCUGGGACGGUACUGACGCUGAGACGCGAAAGCGUGGGGAGCGAACAGG